CGGCAUUUAGGCGGAGGGAGCUGGGGCAGGAGAGUGCAGGGAGGGCCGCCUGCAGCAAGCCAAAGUCCCUUUGCUGUUUUGGGGAUGUCAGAUUACAUUAAUCAAGCUCCAACUGCUGAGCUUCCAUCAGGGAGACAGAGAAUUAUAAAGCCGUUAGAUCACAGGGACCUCAAACCCAGUGGUUUCAUCAGCUGCUUAUGUAAAGACAGAGAUCUGCUACAGUCAGCUGAAAACACUGGGUAGGAACCAAUAUGGCUAAUGGAACAAAUAUCACUGGCAGAACUUUAGUUACAAACAAGCUUAUCACAGCUUCUAGGAGCCUUUUUUUGGUGAAAUAAGGAUAAGGAGUAGUGUGACGUGACCAUGCCAUUAACUUCUCAGUACUAGCAAUUAUUGUACCAAUAACAUAUCCAGCCGUAUCACUUCACUAAAUUACCUGUGGUUUGA